rnacentral:rRNA from 1 species
UAGAGUUUGAUCCUGGCUCAGGACGAACGCUGGCGGUGCGCCUAAUGCAUGCAAGUCGAACGAACUAAGUCCCAGCUUGCUGGGGCAAAAGUUAGUGGCGGACGGCUGAGUAACACGUAAGUGAUCUGCCCCGAAGCGGGGGAUAAUCCGGAGAAAUCCGGUCUAAUACCCCGUAAGUUCCUUGGGUUACGGCCCUUGGAGGAAAGGCUUCGGCCGCUUUGGGAGGAGCUUGCGGCCUAUCAGGUAGUUGGUGGGGUAAAAGCCUACCAAGCCGAAGACGGGUAGCCGAUGUGAGAGCAUGAUCGGUCAGAGGGGGACUGAGACACGGCCCCCACUCCUACGGGAGGCAGCAGCAGGGAAUCUUGCGCAAUGGGCGAAAGCCUGACGCAGCGACACCGCGUGGGGGAAGAAGGCCCUAGGGUUGUAAACCCCUUUUCUCGGGGAAGAGAACGGACGGUACCCGAGGAAUAAGGAUCGGCUAACUACGUGCCAGCAGCCGCGGUAACACGUAGGAUCCGAGCGUUGUCCGGAUUUACUGGGCGUAAAGGGCGCGUAGGCGGCAUGUUAAGUCUCAUGUGAAAUCUCCCGGCUCAACUGGGAGGGGUCAUGGGAAACUAACAAGCUUGAGGGCAGUAGAGGAAAGCGGAAUUCCCGGAGUAGUGGUGAAAUGCGUAGAUACCGGGAGGAACACCAGAGGCGAAAGCGGCUUUCUGGACUGUCCCUGACGCUGAGGCGCGAAAGCAUGGGGAGCAAACCGGAUUAGAUACCCGGGUAGUCCAUGCCCUAAACGAUGGAUACUAGGUAUUGGGGGUAUCGACCCCUCCUGUGCCGAAGCUAACGCAUUAAGUAUCCCGCCUGAGGAGUACGGCCGCAAGGCUAAAACUCAAAGGAAUUGACGGGGGCCCGCACAAGCAGCGGAGCGUGUUGUUUAAUUCGAUGAUAAGCGAAGAACCUUACCAGGGCUUGACAUGUUUCUGAUCGCUUACGAAAGUAGGUCUUCCCUUCGGGGACAGUUUCACAGAUGUUGCAUGGCUGUCGUCAGCUCGUGCCGUGAGGUGUUGGGUUAAGUCCCGCAACGAGCGCAACCCUUGUCGUUAGUUACUAUGUCUAGCGAGACAGCUCCUAAAACGGGAGAGGAAGGUGGGGACGACGUCAAGUCAGCACGGCUCUUACGUCCUGGGCCACAAACACGCUACAAUGGUCGGUACAGAGGGUCGCGAAGGCGCGAGCCGGAGCUAAUCCCAAAAAGCCGGCCCCAGUUGGAAUUGCAGGCUGAAACCCGCCUGCAUGAACUCGGAGUUGCUAGUAACCGCAGGUCAGCACACUGCGGUGAAUACGUUCCCGGGCCUUGUACACACCGCCCGUCACGUCAUGGAAGUCGGUAACACUUGAAGUCGCUGAGCUAACCCUUAGGGAGGCAGGUGCCGAGGGUGGGACUGGUGACUGGGACGAAGUCGUAACAAGGUAACC